rnacentral:rRNA from 1 species
AAUGAACGUUGGCGGCGUGGAUUAGGCAUGCAAGUCGAACGGGCCGCAAGGCCAGUGGCGGAAGGGUGAGUAAUGCGACGGUAACCAACCCCGGGAAUGGGUAUAGCCGCGGGAAACUGCGGGUAAUCCCCAGCGACGUGUCGAGUCGGCAUCGGCUUGACACCAAAGUUCCGGCGUCCUGGGACGGGCCGUUGUGGUAUUAGCUAAUUGGCGGGGUAACGGCGCACCAAGGCUACGCUGCCUACCGGGCGUGCGAGCGUGGCUCGGCACACUGGGACUGAGACACUGCCCAGACUCCUACGGGAGGCUGCAGUCGAGAAUCUUCGGCAAUGGGCGCAAGCCUGACCGAGCGACGCCGCGUGGAGGACGAAGGCCUUCGGGUUGUAAACUCCUGUCGAGGGGGAGGAAGGCGUAAGCUUGACCGAUCCCUGGAGGAAGCACGGGCUAAGUUCGUGCCAGCAGCCGCCGUAAUAC